UGGUUACCAAAAAAAUAAAGAUAUUGAAUGUAGAGUGCAUUGACAAUUAAAAAUGAUACAUACGUUGUUAAUGGAACAUAUAAUCAUGACAAACCCAUACUACAUCUCAGUGAAAUUAAAAAAAAAAUCAAAAUAUCAGAAACAUUUGAAAGUACCAGAAUGAUGAAAAAUAAAAAAGAGAAUAAUUUCGAAACAUUUCCAAUUGUGUACACUAUCAUGGAAGGACGUUGCUAAUCAGAAGAUUACCGUGGUAUGUUGAUGUAUUGAAAAAAGUGAUAAACUAUAAAAAUAACCUGAUGUUGUAACAAAAGAUUUUGAAAAAGCAAAACUGCAAAUCAAAACAAGCAAUCAAAACAAUUUUCCCCCAUGUAAAAACUAUUGGCAUACUUCUUUCAUUACAGCCAGACACUAAAUGAUUUCAAGCCCGGUUUAUUUUCUAUAUUCAAAGAAAUUGACAGAACAAAUAACGCGUCAGAGAGACACAAUCGCGAGCUGAAACAAAGUCUCCAAAAGCAUUCAAGAAUUAUAACAUUUUUAGAUAACCUAACUGAACAUCAAAAAGACAUCAAAAGUAUGAUGAAAUAUCCAAAAACAAGAUUACAACCUAAAACAAAAAGAAGCCAAA